UACAGAGGUCUCAAGCGUUGUUCGGAUUCAUUGGGCGUAAAGGGUGCGUAGGCGGCGCGGUAAGUCGGGUGUGAAAUCUCGGAGCUUAACUCCGAAACUGCAUUCGAUACUGCCGUGCUUGAGGACUGGAGAGGAGACUGGAAUUUACGGUGUAGCGGUGAAAUGCGUAGAUAUCAGGAGGAACACCGGUGGCGAAGGCGGCAUCCUGGACCAACACUGACGCUGAGUGAGCGAAAGCCAGGGGAGCAAACGGG
rnacentral:rRNA from 1 species